UUGAAAAAUUUAUUAGUUCGAACGUAUAAAAUCUGAUAUAUGGAAAAAAUAAGAGGGAAAUGCAAAAACUU